rnacentral:rRNA from 1 species
GAUGAACGCUGGCGGCGUGCCUAAUACAUGCCAGUCGAGCGAACGGACGAGAAGCUUGCUUCUCUGAUGUUAGCGGCGGACGGGUGAGUAACACGUGGAUAACCUACCUAUAAGACUGGGAUAACUUCGGGAAACCGGAGCUACUACCGGAUAAUAUUUUGAACCGCAUGGUUCAAAAGUGAAAGACGGUCUUGCUGUCACUUAUAGAUGGAUCCGCGCUGCAUUAGCAAGUUGGUAAGGUAACGGCUUACCAAGGCAACGAUGCAUAGCCGACCUGAGAGGGUGAUCGGCCACACUGGAACGGAAACACGUUCCAGACUCCUACGGGAGGCGGCAGUAGGGAAUCUUCCGCAAUGGGCGAAAGCCUGACGGAGCACCGCCGGGUGAGUGAUGAAGGUCUUCGGAUCUUAAAACUCUGUUAUUAGGGAAGAACAUAUGUGUAAGUAACUGUGCACAUCUUGCCGGUACCUAAUCAGAAAGCCACGGCUAACUACGUG